CCUACGGGAGGCAGCAGUGGGGAAUUUUCCGCAAUGGGCGCAAGCCUGACGGAGCAACGCCGCGUGAGGGAUGAAGGCCUCUGGGCUGUAAACCUCUUUUCUCAAGGAAGAAGACCUGACGGUACUUGAGGAAUAAGCCACGGCUAAUUCCGUGCCAGCAGCCGCGGUAAUACGGGAGUGGCAAGCGUUAUCCGGAAUUAUUGGGCGUAAAGCGUCCGCAGGCGGCCUAUUAAGUCUGUCGUUAAAGCGUGGAGCUCAACUCCAUUUAAGCGAUGGAAACUGGAAGGCUAGAGUGUGGUAGGGGCAGAGGGAAUUCCCGGUGUAGCGGUGAAAUGCGUAGAUAUCGGGAAGAACACCAGUGGCGAAGGCGCUCUGCUGGGCCAUAACUGACGCUCAUGGACGAAAGCCAGGGGAGCGAAAGGGAUUAGAUACCCCUGUAGUCCUGGCCGUAAACGAUGAACACUAGGUGUCGGGGGAAUCGACCCCCUCGGUGUCGUAGCUAACGCGUUAAGUGUUCCGCCUGGGGAGUACGCACGCAAGUGUGAAACUCAAAUGAAUUGACGG
rnacentral:rRNA from 1 species